UACAGAGGGGGCAAGCGUUGUUCGGAAUUACUGGGCGUAAAGGGCGCGUAGGCGGCCUGCUAAGUCGAACGUGAAAUCCCCGGGCUCAACCCGGGAACUGCGUCCGAUACUGGCAGGCUUGAGUUCGGGAGAGGGAUGUGGAAUUCCAGGUGUAGCGGUGAAAUGCGUAGAUAUCUGGAGGAACACCGGUGGCGAAGGCGGCAUCCUGGACCGAGAUUGACGCUGAUGCGCGAAAGCCAGGGGAGCAAACGGG
rnacentral:rRNA from 1 species